CUGCGGAUCUCUGAUGGGACAGCUGGGAGGGUGGGUUGUGGGCCUGGAGGAGCAGGGCUGUCUGGUACCUGCUUGGUGCCAAGUCCACUAACUCGCCUGAGAUGGGGCAUCUGUCAGCCAAGACAAAAUGGUGGAAAAGCUGAAAUUUAUGCCUUUGGAAUCUGAGGCAUUAACCGUUGUAAAUCAGCAUUUGGUGCCCAAAGGAUACAAGAUUCCCUGUGCCCGGAGCUCUCUUUCUGGCCCUUGUCAUCUUGGAGCUACUGGACUCAUCCUGAAGACUCAGCUCAAUUGUCAUGUCCACAGUGAAGCCUCCUGCAAGCACCCGCCCCAGCCGAUGAGUCACUUCUGUGUCCCUGCAGCUGCUGCUAAGAUCUGUCACAUCAAUCCUCCCAGGCCUGGUUCCCCACUCAACCCCAGGCUUCUCAGGGUUAUUUAUGUGAAAAUUGUGAGGAACCUUCUGAUGGAUAUUCCAGGCUUCUUCUAGGGACAAAGAGUAGCCGGGUGAAAAUGGAGAAGUCAGACUGUCCCUUCUCCGACCCUACUGUGGCUCUCUUUACUCUGAACAAAAGCUGGUCUCGGACUUCCCUGGUGGCGCAGUGGUUAAGAAUCCGCCUGCCAAUGCAGGGGACACGGGUUCGAGACCUGAUCCGGGAAGAUCCCACAUGACGUGCGGAGCAACUAAGCCCAUGCGCCACAACUACUGAGCCUGUGCUCUAGAGCCCGCGAGCCACAACUACUGAGCCCACGUGCCACAACUACUGAAGCCUGUGCACCUAGAGCCUGUGCUCCGCAACAAGAGAAGCCACCGUAAUGAGAAGCCCGCACACUGCAACAAAGAGUAGCCCCCGCUUGCCACAGCUAGAGAAAGCCCACGCGCAGCAACAAAGACCCAAUGCAGCCAAAAUAAAAUAAAUAAAUAAAUCAAAAAACAAAAAAAACAAAAAACCCCCAAAAUG